rnacentral:lncRNA from 1 species
GUGAGACAGAAGCCAGGACAAUGGUCUAACCCUGGGGCACCCCAAGAAGACCAGCUGCCAUGGAGAUUGAGAACAAGGCUGAUUUGCUCAAAACCAGGGUGCCCAAGGAAUGAUAAAAGGGAGAUGGGUAAUACAGACCAGGUACCGUGGGUCCCCAGAGACAAGUUUCUGCUCUCCCCAUUGUUGACCUCCUUACAAGGCUGCGUUUCCCAGCCUCUGCCCUAAGACUAUCCUGCUGUGGUCCACAGGUUCUCAAUGCUAAUUUGUGGCCUUUUAAAAAAUAAGCAUAAGGCCCGGCGCGGUGACUCACGCCUGUAAUCCCAGCACUUUGGGAGGCCGAAGCAGGUGGAUCACGAGGUCAGGAGUUCAAGACCAGCCUGGCCAAGAUGGUGAAACCCUGUCUCUACUAAAAAUACAAAAAAUUAGCUGGGCUUGGUGGCAGGUGCCUAUAAUCCCUGCUACUCUGGACGCUCAGGCAGAGAAUUGCUUAAACCGGGGCGGGCGGGUGGGGGAUGGGAGGGCGGAGGUUGCAGUGGGCGGAGAUCACGCCACUGCACUCCAGUCUGAGCGACAGAGUGAGACUCUGUCUCAAUAAAUAAAUAAAUAAAUAAAAUAAAAUAAGCAUAAACAUUUGAGAUUAGAGCUAAAAGAUCUGACUUUGAUCAUCCACAGCAGCCAGGCUCCCUCCCUACCGCUCAGCUCCGAUGCACUGCUGGUGGGAGGGGAGGUGCUUUGCCUGGCCGCCCCCUUCUCUGGGGAUCCUGUCUCGGUCGCUUCCCCCACUCCUGUUCCCGGGCUUGUAUCAACCCCACCCAGUGGCUACUGCUGUCUGUGCCCGAGGACCUCAUCUCCUCGCAGAGGCUGGCUCCCCGCAUCCCGCAUCCCACACUGGGACACGCCUGUGGCCUUGCCAGGGUGGGCGGGACACGGCCUCUUUCCUUCCUUCCCAUCCAGCGCCGGUGAGGCUCAGCACUCAUUGUCUCACUGGCAGCACAAAGCCUUGGGGGCUCCACGGGAUAAUUAAUAGCGAGGACGCCCCCAGGGACCUCCGGAAAGAGACACCAUUGUGGCAGGCCUCCAGGUUCUCGUCUGCCUGCUAUUGAAUUUUGUGGCGGUGAUUUCUUCAGAAACUGCCUCUUCCCACCCCCACUCCACCCACAGAGAGGAUGAGCUACAUCCGUACAGAGCCUGGCACUCCGGAUGCUGGCGGAAUUGAUUCAGUAGCAUGAGCAGGAAGGUCCAUUUGAAGAGAUCACUCCAAAACAGCGGUUCGCAACAAGGUGGGAGUGGAAGGGAAUGUUCUCCUGGGAGUGGGUGGGGGUGGGGUGUCAGCGUGUGGACCUGGUACAGCAGCGUUUGAAAAUACCUCCAGUAUUCUAAUAUAAUUUAAAAUAAUAAUUAGCCGGGUGUGGUGACUCGUGCCUGUAAUCCCAGCUACUAGGGAGGCUGAGGUGGGAGGAUUCCUUGAGCCCUGGAGUUCAAGACCAGCCUGGACAGCAUAGCAAACCCCUGUCUCAUAUAAAUAAUAAUAAUAAUAAUGAUUAUUAUUCAAUGUUUUUGUCAUUCAAACCACAGGUAGUAAAGCUUGACAGAAUUGUUGUGGGUGAGAUGUGAGCUAAAAAUAUUGAGAACCAGGACCUAGCAGAUUGUCUGCUGUAAGUUCCCUGGCUGUGGAGGAUGGAGUCUCCCCUGAAGAGUAGUGUUGGUCCUUGGGACAGUGGCCGCAGUCCAGCCCAUCACAGAAAGGAAUGGUGCUCCCUGGGGCUGGAAACCGGUGUCUGGAGUUGGGGGAGGUGGGGAGGAACUUGGAGAUUCGGCUCACUGUCAGUCUUGUUAAGAAGGCCAGUGUCUAAAGUGGGAACCACACCAGGUAAGCUGUAUUCUAAUCUGCUCCUUGUUUUCUUGGCAGAAUGGUUCAUGCAGGACAGAAAAAGGAGAGACAAAGGACUGUCAGGAGAGUGACCGGUCCAAAUGAGGACUCAGGAACCCCCAGUGGAUCCAGAGAGAAAAACACUCUGGGUAGGAAGGGCAUGGGAAGUGAUUACUAUGCACUUGUGCUGGAGCAAAAUGACACCAGGGGAGGUUGACCAGCACCCUCUGGGUUCAUUCUUUUUAUAAGGAAGACUUCUGGUCUCUUACUCUGUUCCUUGAAUGGAUUUACAUCCCAGAAAGAUGUGUGCUCUGUGCAAAUGAAGGGGUACUCUUCCACUGUAAAGAAUGCAUUGGCUUUCUGGACUGGGGGGCUGGCUGGUACAAGCGUUUCCCAGGAGAGAGAAGUUUCUGAAAGGAUUUUUGGAGUUGCAGAGUCAAGGACCAGGCUGGGAGUCUUGGUGACCCCACCAAGCACAGAGGAUGCCAGGCGCCUGAUUGGAGAAGGCUGUGGGAGUCUUCUAGAACAAUCGUGCUAACUGCACACACCAUCUGCAUGAACCAAUACCAGGUUGUACUGGUAUUCAGCCAUCUUGUACUAUUUCCUCGGGGUGUCCCUAGAGUGUUUCGUUUUUGACUAGCAUUUCAGCAGCCUGCAGGUAGGGACAGCAUUUCAUACACAGUGUGCGCCUCCCAGGAGCCAGGUGCAGCUGGGGUGUGUGACUGUGAGGCUCCUUGCUGUCCAUGACAUAAUGUCACCCCCACUGCCUCAGCUUACUCCCCAGUCACCCCUUGAGGUAACAGGGCUGGUGCUUUUACAAUUCCCAUUUUAAAGAUGAGGAAACAGGCUAGGUGUGGUGGCUCACGCCUGCAAUCCCAGCACUUUGGGAGGCUGAGGCAGGUGGGUCAUUUGAGUUCAGGAGUUCGAGAUCAGCCUGACCAACACAAAAAAUUACCAGAGUGUGGUGGUGCAUGCCUGUCAUUUCAGCUACUUGGGAGGCUGAGGCCUGAGAAUUGCUUGAACCCAGAGGUGGACGUUGCAGUGAGCCGAGAUCGCACCACUGCACUCUAGCCUGGGUGACACAGCGAGACUCCAUCUCAAAAAAAAAAAAAAAAAAAAAAAAGAUGAGGAAACAGAGGUCAGUGAGUGCUGGCCUCAAGAGAACCUCAAAAUCCCACUCUGCCUAGCCCUGCCUGCCCUUGUCUUCAAUCCUUGAGGAACAGAAUGAUGCCAGGUGUGAGUUGUUCAGGUAUCUCCCCAAUAUCUCCUCCUACAUGGUGGGGAGGGUGACCACGGCAGGGGUUGGGGGAAGGCUCUUCUGCCAUGCCUUGGGACUUCCCUUUCUGUGUGAGUGUGAGGUAGGUGGAUUCCACCUACUCAGCAUGGAUUUUGCACAGGAAGUCUUGCUCCCUUUUCCUUGGUGUGAUUUUUAUUGAACUCACCUUUCCUUACUAAGGGAGUGUUAAGUUGGUUUGGAUUUCAGGAGAAAAGAAACAUAGCCUACUUAGGUGAGCCCCCAGCCUACAUUAAGGAAUCUCUUACAUGGGACAGCUUGGUCCAGCAGGGCAAAAACGUUUCAGUAAUAAAUAAUUUGCAUUUGCCUGCCCUAUGAUGGGACAGGAGUGGAGGAUACAGUCUCUGGCCAGAUCUCAUGAUCCUGUCCUCAUCCCACAACAUGCACUAGUGACCCUCUCAUGCUCCCACUGCCACAAAAGGCAGAAUUGGGGUUGGAACAUCUGACCCAAGUCCACACCUCUUUCCUCUCUCCUUCCGCAUUUCUGAGUCUUGAAGUAAUGCUGGGCCAAAGUGGGGGUGGUCCUUGGCCAUCCUGGGAGGAGCUUUGCACACUGGUGGUAAGUUCCUAUUUCAGUUGAUGGUUCUAUAGUGGAUGAGCUCCACAUUCAAUUCUUAUGCCCCUGCAGCUGCCGUAGGAGGCAGGGUGACCCGUCACCAAGGCAGCUCCCACAACCUGGUCACAGCUCUUUCCUCAGGGCCUGUUACCCAGCAUGAGCUAAGGUCCUUGGGAACUUCUAAGACCACUUGAAGGAGGAAAUUUAUUCUGUGUCUUUCCCUCUCCUUUUCUCCCUCCCUCCCUCCUUCCGUCCCUCCCUGUCUUCUUUUAUUUUUCCUUCCCUUCCUUUUUCCUCCCAUCCAUUCACUCAAAUCUAGGCGAUGCAUCCCUGUGGUGUGCUAGCUAUUGUUUCUCUAGGUUAAGAGGCAUCAGAAACAGAAUACUUCCCCUGAGUCAGGAGCCACACCAAAUUAUUCAUAGGCUGAAUCUAUUGCAAGUUUUAGAGGGAAUUUUCUUCAAGGUUGUGGCUGUGAGGCUGCUGAGUGAAAGAAGUAAUGAAUAUGCCUAACAUUCGCAGAGGUGAGAAAUGUUGCCUGGACUCAGACAGCCCAGGGUCUCAGGCUCACACAGCCCUGGGACAAUUGCAGUAAAGAGAAUGCCCUGAACAGAGAUUCAUACUGUCUUGGCCUUGGUGGAUGGAAUUCUAAUCUCCCUGAACUCUUCAAUCUGUGGGUUGAUGGAUUAAACACGCAUAUAUUCAACAUGAGUGGAUAGCUGGGUCUCCCCAAACUCUACACCUGUAUGGAAUCCAUUUCCCCCUGUUCUGGACCAUUUAGAAGGGCAUGUGGGUACCUGGAGUUGUCUGACAGAGAUACUGACUGGAGAAGCGGUGAGGUCCCCAACACUGAGAUGAUUUGGGUUGGAAAUGAUGAGUAACCAUCAGGCAUGCUGUGGGAGGGGCUCCUGCUCUGGUUGGAGGUGGGACUGGAUAUCUGUAGAUUAUCAAAGCCAUCUUGUUCAUCAAAGCCAUCUUGUUAAUGAGGGUCAAGAUCAUCCUCACAUCUGAGUAUCUUGAAAGGUUCCUCACAAAUCUAAGAUUCAACUACCAGGAAUAAUGGUCUCAAAGUAGAAUCUGAACUUGGAUUCCCUUAGACUCAGAACUGGAACCUGAACUUGGAUUCCCUUAGACUCACAACUGUUUGGCUUUGUCAGGUGCUGCUUCUUGGAUUUGCCUCCUGACUGUUGCCAAUUCCCCCCUACCUCAUAGUCUUCAUUCACCCCCUGCAGUGCCCCACUGAUGACACCAUUCUGCCAGUGAUGCCUGGAUCUCCCAUGGCAUCGCCUACCUUCUAGGUAGUUUUACAGAGAGGAAGUGUAGCCUCAUGAAGAAACCAGC